AUGGUUGCUCAGCAAUACUGUAUUUGUGGUUUCAUUUUGGGCAAGUUUUGGAUAGCAAAUAUAGUAACAAGGUUGUUUGCAGACUGGUUUUUAUGCAGGUUUAAGGACUGUAAUGCAGGGUUUUUGGACAGCAGACAAAAGACAAUUUUGGGGUUGUUUUUGGCAUAUUGCAGCAGCAGAAUUUGGAGUGUAGUAUCAUGGAAAGAUGGAAUAUCCAAAGACUCAACCAAAGACUCUGACAACACAGUAUAUGCCAAAGGUUUUGCUUGUGCAGCGACCGGGUGUGGCGUAGGUUAUAGCGUUUGA